rnacentral:rRNA from 1 species
CCUACGGGGUGCAGCAGUGGGGAACAUUGCACAAUGGGCGCAAGCCUGAUGCAGCCAUGCCGCGUGUAUGAAGAAGGCCUUCGGGUUGUAAAGUACUUUCAGCGAGGAGGAAGGCAUUAAGGUUAAUAACCUUGGUGAUUGACGUUACUCGCAGAAGAAGCACCGGCUAACUCCGUGCCAGCAGCCGCGGUAAUACGGAGGGUGCAAGCGUUAAUCGGAAUUACUGGGCGUAAAGCGCACGCAGGCGGUCUGUUAAGUCAGAUGUGAAAUCCCCGGGCUCAACCUGGGAACUGCAUUUGAAACUGGCAGGCUUGAGUCUUGUAGAGGGGGGUAGAAUUCCAGGUGUAGCGGUGAAAUGCGUAGAGAUCUGGAGGGAUACCGGUGGCGAAGGCGGCCCCCUGGACAAAGACUGACGCUCAGGUGCGAAAGCGUGGGGAGCAAACAGGAUUAGAUACCCGAGUAGUC